rnacentral:rRNA from 1 species
AACGAACGCUGGCGGCAGGCCUAACACAUGCAAGUCGAGCGAGACCUUCGGGUCUAGCGGCGGACGGGUGAGUAACGCGUGGGAACGUGCCCUUUUCUACUGAAUAGCCUCGGGAAACUGAGCGUAAUACCGUAUACGCCCUUUGGGGGAAAGAUUUAUCGGAGAAGGAGCGUCCCGCGUUGCAUUAGGUAGUUGGUGGGGUAAUGGCCUAACAAGCCUACGAUCCAUAGCUGGUUUGAGAGGAUGAUCAGACACACUGGGACUGAGACACGGCACAGACUCCUACGGGAGGCAGCAGUGGGGAAUCUUAGACAAUGGGGGCAACCCUGAUCUAGCCAUGCCGCGUGAGUGAUGAAGGCCUUAGGGUUGUAAAGCUCUUUCAGCUGGGAAGAUAAUGACGGUACCAGCGGAAGAAGCCCCGGCUAACUCCGUG